GAUCUCCUGCUGCUUACCACUGGCAGGAGUCUUACACUGUAUGGAGAAAGACUAAACCUGCCCGUAUACAACUCGGCCAGGUCCUGCACUGGGUAUGUACUGUGAAUGGGGAAAACGG
rnacentral:snoRNA from 1 species